AGGUGGUAGACUCGGAAAAGUGAAGGGUCCAACAUUCCGAAUAUCAGGAGUACAGGUGAAUGCCAAACUAGUCAUCUCCCAUGAAGAAGAAUUAAUACCUUUGCACAAAUCCAUUCCUUCUGAUCCAGAAGAAAGAAAGCAGUGAGUGAUUUAUUUUCUCCAUUGUAAGAUUUUUGUUAUUCAAUAAUUGCAAAAUCAAUGUGCUGAAUUUUUAUGGUGUUAUUGGCUAGUUUUGAAAAAAAAAAAAAAGGAAGAAAUAAAGCAUAUUAUUUUGAAGUUCUAAUGACUCACGUUUUUCAAAAUUAAUUUUUCAGUUAAGGCACUUACAAACUUAUCAUUAGUUAUUAACUUUGAUGCCAGGUAUACUAUCCCAUGCCACACAAAGGCAGCUCAUUUUGAUAUAGACUGGGGCAAAGAAGAUGAUUCCAAUUUGUUAAUUGGCAUCUAUGAAUAUGGAUAUGGAAGCUGGGAAAUGAUUAAAAUGGAUCCUGACCUCAGUCUAACACACAAGAUUCUUCCAGAUGAUCCCGAUAAAAAACCACAAGCAAAACAGUUGCAGACCCGUGCAGACUACCUCAUCAAAUUACUUAGUAGAGAUCUUGCAAAAAAAGAAGCUCUUUCUGGUGUGGGAAGUUCAAAGAGGAGAAAAGCAAGAGCUAAGAAGAAUAAAGCAAUGAAGUCUAUAAAAGUGAAAGAGGAAAUAAAGAGUGAUUCUUCUCCUCUGCCUUCAGAGAAGUCUGAUGAAGAUGAUGAUAAAUUGAGUGAAUCCAAGUCUGAUGGUAGGGAAAGAUCCAAGAAAUCUUCAGUGUCAGAUGCUCCAGUUCAUAUCACGGCAAGUGGUGAACCAGUUCCCAUUUCUGAAGAAUCUGAAGAGCUGGAUCAGAAGACAUUCAGCAUUUGUAAAGAAAGAAUGAGGCCUGUUAAAGCAGCUUUGAAACAACUUGAUAGGCCUGAGAAAGGCCUUUCAGAAAGAGAACAACUAGAACAUACUAGACAAUGUUUAAUAAAAAUUGGAGACCAUAUCACAGAAUGUCUAAAAGAGUAUACAAAUCCUGAACAAAUUAAGCAAUGGAGAAAAAACCUGUGGAUUUUUGUAUCUAAGUUUACUGAAUUUGAUGCAAGAAAAUUACAUAAAUUAUAUAAGCACGCUAUUAAAAAACGGCAGGAGUCUCAGCAAAACAAUGAUCAAAACAGCAACUUGAAUCCUCACGUGAUUAGAAAUCCAGAUGUGGAAAGAUUAAAAGAGAAUACAAAUCACGAUGAUAGCAGCAGGGACAGUUAUUCCUCUGAUAGACACUUAACUCAGUACCAUGAUCAUCAUAAAGACCGACAUCAGGGAGAUUCUUACAAAAAAAGUGAUUCCAGGAAAAGACCCUAUUCUUCUUUUAGUAAUGGUAAAGACCAUCGUGAUUGGGAUCACUACAAGCAAGACAGCAGAUAUUACAGUGACAGAGAGAAACACAGAAAACUGGAUGAUCACAGGAGUAGAGAUCACAGGUCAAAUUUGGAAGGAAGUUUAAAAGAUAGAUCUCAUUCUGAUCAUCGUUCUCACUCAGAUCAUCGGUUACAUUCAGACCACCGGUCAAGUUCUGAAUAUAUGCACCAUAAAUCUUCCAGGGAUUAUAGGUAUCACUCAGACUGGCAAAUGGACCACAGAGCUUCCAGCAGUGGCCCUAGGUCACCACUAGAUCAGAGAUCUCCUUAUGGCUCCAGAUCUCCAUUUGAACAUUCAGUUGAACACAAAAAUACACCGGAGCAUACCUGGAGUAGUCGGAAAACAUAACAAAAACUGAUACUUCGUCUUUCUGGACUUUUCUUUUAGCCAUAUAUCAUAAACCAACACAGUAAUUGCCUUACAUGACUUGAAAGAUAUAAACAGAUCUUCUAUCAGUAGCAGUAUUGUUACUUCUUUCCAGGAUGCAAGGUCUAUUAUCCCAACAGAAGAGAAAAUAUUUUUAUAUUUAAGGAUUAUGCUGCACUGUACUACAGAAUUGUAGUACGUUUUUUUGUUUUCUUUUUUAAAGAAAUGGAAAAUGUUUACUAUUACAGGGACCUCAACACUGCCCUCCCAUACAGGCUGGAUAAAACUGUUUUUAAGUCAGUGAUUUUAGACUGACCUCCAUUUAAAUUAUGUUUAUAUAUGAACUUUACUCUGACCUGUGAUCACGUUUCAGGAAGGAAUGAAAGAGAGUUCUUUCUUAAUAAAGAAAAACACUCAAGGACUUUGUUCAUUUCCAAAGCUACUUGUUUACAUUGUACACUGCGACCACCUUGCCGCUUUUCAUCACAAGCUUGAAUAUUUAAAUUCUGUACUUAUAUCUGUAAAAUAGCCAGGAAUUUCCUGUUUGUGAUCUAUUAUGCCUUUUUACAAAAAAAAAUGGCUGUAAAUUAUUGUAAAUAUUAAAGGAACUUUCCUUACUUCCUUCCCUUUCUCAGGCUUUUUUUGACUGUUCCUUUCCCUACCAACUCAGGCCUUCUUAUUAAAAAAAAAAAAAAUCAGUGUAAUAACACUUUUUAAUGAUUUGUCUUGAUGGAAUUAUUGUUUAGAAUGUAAAAAUGGGGAAAGGGGCCACUUAAUUCCAUUAGUCCUCUUUUUAUACUGAAUAUUUUAUUAGAUACAUGUUAUUCCCUUUUUUUUCCUUUUUUAGUCAAUAUUGUGUUUGUAGUUUUAAAAAAUGGCGAGAUAUGUAAAAUCUAAACUGCAUGCUCUGGAAACAUUUUUUUCAGAUGCAUCUGGUUUUAAAGGGUAGGUGUAUAAACACUUUUCAGAAUCCAAAAUGGCCAAAAGUUAUUGUAAAUCCGUUUGUUUUCCCGUUUCAUGUGGGCAAUAAUGUCAAAUGUGCUAUGCAGCCAGGUUAACAUUUUAGAUAAACUUGAUUGACUUUUAAUAUAAACUGUUACAAUGCACACUGAUUGUAUAUAAAAACGUUAUAUAUGACAAAUUAAAUUUAAGAAAAAGGA
rnacentral:sRNA from 1 species